rnacentral:rRNA from 1 species
UACAGAGGUCCCAAGCGUUGUUCGGAUUCAUUGGGCGUAAAGGGUGCGUAGGCGGCGCGGUAAGUCGGGGUGAUGAAAUCUCGGAGCUUAACUCCGAAACUGCAUUCGAUACUGCCGUGCUUGAGGACUGGAGAGGAGACUGGAAUUUACGGUGUAGCGGUGAAAUGCGUAGAUAUCGUAAGGAAGACCAGUGGCGGAAGGCGGGUCUCUGGACAGUUCCUGACGCUGAGGCACGAAGGCCAGGGGAGCAAACGGG